rnacentral:rRNA from 1 species
GGUGAACAACCCGGCUACCGGCGCUGCUCUUUUCCUGUGCUCUUGUGGAUUUCCACUUUUUACUAUUUUUCUUCUGAUGCGCUAAGGGUGCUUUGUGCACCCGACAGGAAAUGCGGAUAACUUUUAACAAUGGAUCUCUUGGCUCUCGCAUCGAUGAAGGACGCAGCGAAAUGCGAUAGGUAGUGUGAAUUGCAGAAUUCAGUGAAUCAUCGAAUCUUUGAACGCACAUUGCGCCCUCUGGUUAUCCCAGAGGGCACUCUUGUUUGAAGCCCCGGAAAGGACGGUCGCUUUGCGGCCAGGUUGCUGGACGUGCAAAAGUUUGGGGUCAUUCCGGAACAGCGUUUGAGGCCUUCCUCCGCAUCCAAGUCUGACAAACCCGAGCAGCUCCCGGGAGAAGGGUCCGCGAGGGAAUAUGCGGUUUCCCGCGUUUUUUUCGCGUCUGAACGUGUGUGCUUCCGUUCACAUGAUCCCCCCGGUGAUUCCAGGCCCAACAGGCACGCCGUCGUAAUGAGCAUCGACGGUGUACAUUGGUAUUAUAUGUAUCAAGUCGAACGACAAUACAUAUAAUAUUAAUGUAUAUAACUAUUUACGUGUUCUCAUGCGGCCCGGUCGUCCCAAAUGUAUCCCUUUACGUCGCCGGUGAAUAACCCUCCGUCUGUUACCUCUUUCUGUUGCUUUUCUGCGCGUUUGGUGCUUUCGUUAGGGUGUACUAUAUGUGCUUUUUAGUAUAUAGAAGGUUGGUGUCGCUUUGCAGUUUCUUAGGUAGUUGGAGAUUUCAGAACGACCGGGAGCGGAAGUAGCCACAUGGCAAAAAAUGACGUUCAGGCCAAUUUUAUUUUCACCAGAAUGGAAGGGGGUUUCAAAUCAAGAGGGAUUACCCG